CUCCCCGUAGCACAAAGGAUAAUGCGACGGUCUUCUAAACCGUUAGGUACAGGUUCGAAUCCUGUCGGGGGGA
rnacentral:tRNA from 1 species